AAAAAAAAAAACUAUUGAAAUGUUAUAUUCCAACUAAAGUAGUAUCAUCGUCAUCCUCAUCAAACAAACAAACAAACGCUAUCCAUGGCAUGUAUCAAACCUUUGCAUUUGCUUAAACCAGCAAGAAUUGCGACUGAUUCUUUCUUCUUCAAUUUCACUAAAAAUGGUAUUUCCUCAUUCCCACUGGCAAUUAAGCCUAAGCAUUCGACAGCUCAGCGAAGUUACUAUGUGAAAUCGAGUGCUUUAGAGCCGCCUGAUAUUCCUCGUUUGGCUGAAAAAGCUCGGAUUUCGCUAACCCUUCAAGAAGUUGAAGAAUUCGCUCCCAAAAUUCGACAAGUUAUAGAUUGGUUUGGACAACUUCAAGCUGUCGAUCUGGAGAGUAUCGAACCAGCCAUAAGGGCAGAUACUGAGGGAGAUAAUUUGCGCGACGACAUACCUGAAAAGUUUGAGAAUAGGGAAGCAUUGAUUUCUGCUGUGCCAAGCUUUGAGGAGCCUUACAUCAAAGUUCCCAAAGUGUUGAAUAAGGAGUGACAUUAUUUAGGUCAUUUCGUUUCACUUCCAGGGGAAGACCAUAAUUUUAUAUAUUUUGAUCAGUAGAUGGAAGACCUGACAUCAUCCCUCCAAAAUCUUUUUCAAGAUGUAUCUUGAUGCAACAUGUAACACAGCUAUGCUACUGCUGCCUUAAAGAGGCAACAUGCUGUAGAGAAGUGAAUUUUAAAGUUUGGCAAUUGCAUAUGGAGGCAAGUUUGAUCUUGGAGGCAGCUUUAGGUCUUGCCAAUCUUCAUCAUCUAUCUUGGAGAAGUAAAGAUCAACAUCAUCAUCUGUAAUUAGUUCCAGUCUGGAGGGCUCCCACUUAGGAUUUCUAUCCUUGUCAAUGAGUAUGGCUCUGCAUCCCUCGAAAAAAUCUUUGCUGAAUUCUCCCCUAAUCACAUGACAAGCUAUCCUAUACUCUUGAAUAAGGCAACUACCAACACCUUGCAGCCUCCCCUCUCUUAGUGAUCUCAAUGAAAUCUUAAGACUUGUUGGGGAUGCUUUCUUCAGCGAUUGGAUGGUUGAAGAGAUCCAGUACUCAUCCUUCUUGUUCAAAGCCUCAUAAUUUUCAAGAGAAGAUAUGAUUUCUUCGAUUGUUCUCCGAGCGAAGCAAUGGUCAAUAAUCUUCAUCUUGUGAUAAGGACUUUCUGCUUUCAGCUUUGGUAUGUUAGAGAAGCGACUAAUGAUGGCAGAAAUAACAUCUGGAUCACUCGUAUUGACUUCAAUUAGUGCUUGUUCUAAAAAUGGCAACCUCUCCGAGGGUGCAAAAUGAGUUGCUAGACCACAAGCAAGCAUUUCAGCACCAUCUAACCUUGCACCGGUAAGACCAGCAUAUUCCCCGAAGAAUCCUGGAAGCCUUGAAUAAAAGUAAGAAGCACCUACAUCAGGAAUGAGUCCCAUAGCUGUUUCAGGCAUAGCACAAACCGACUUCUCUGUUGCAACCCGAAAUCUACCAUGUACAGAAGCACCAAGUCCGCAUGACAGAUCAUCUUAGAUAUGACAUGUUUGCUGGACAGUGCUGGAUUCACAUAUCAUGAAAUACUCAAGUUGACACCAGGCAAAGUCUCUCAGAGAUAUAUUGCAGGUGGAGAGUGAGAAGAAAUUAUUUCAGUGCUAUAUCAUAAAAACAGGAACACUUGCAAUAUAAGAUUUUUGUGUAAAUGAUAGACUUCUCCAAAAAAAAAAAAAGAAAAAAAAAAGAA